UGCAUGGAGACUUGGUAUUUUCUUUAGCUGC
rnacentral:piRNA from 1 species